GGGGCAGCUACUUCAGCAGCUGAAUGAGGGAUCUCUACAUCAGCUGUUAAGAUCAUGGGCAGAUGGUCUUCCUAAGCAUUUGAAUCAUACAUCAGACCUGAUUCAAAACCAUUAUUGAAGCUCAGCAAGCUCUCCUGUAACUAAUCAGGAACCUUAGGAUUCACAACUGGUGGGUAUACUUCAUCUACUUUUUUUGGGGGGGAAGGCCGGCCCCGUCUGGAGGUCUCAUAAUCCACCUAAUUUUGGGGGUCUGCUGCGCCCCUGCCUUCGUCUUCAGGCAGGAAAUGCAGAUUCGCUACCCUCGGAUUACGAACCAUGGACGGGGCCUUCCGCCAAAGAAAUUUAUAAUUGUGCUCGCUGAGCUGUCAAUAAAUGUAUGCUUCGUACAUUCCUCUA